AAAAAAAAAAAAAAAAACCAAUCGUCUCCUGUAUGUUCGUUCCAACCCUAGUCUUUCCCGAUUGGCUUCAAUGGAGAUCAUCGUCAUCGUAUUCGUUGCUCGGUUCAUCUGAUUAUUUCAGUUACGAUUCAGGUUCUUCUUCCUUCAACUUGUUCCCUGUUUGGUAUACUAGAAGUAUUGGAAGAAAUAUAUAUAUAUAUAUUCAGGUUCAACUUCCUUCAACUCGCUCGCAAUUGAUGGCUGGCAAUGGGCUGUCAAACUUAGGCCGUGUGAAGCUUACAGAUCUAGUAGCUUCUGAAGGUCUUCCCUCUGACACAUACAAGCUCUCCGUUUCCACUUUGUCACAAUCUCUUGCUCAAUAUUCUGCUGCCAUCAUCCAGUUUCCAGCAAAUGAGGCUGCUCUUCUAAGAUGUUGCCUGGAAUCUGCUCGACCCUACUUUAAUCAAAAACCCUCAUACCCAUCUGCUGCUGACAUUAAUGAUUCCCGCGAAUGGUGCAAAACCUCAGGAUACUCAGCAGAUCCCCAAAUGUGGCAAGAAAGUUAUGAUUACAGACCCGGAAUGACUCCCAACAAUGACAUUGAAUUCCCCCCUGCUGGAUUGCUUGAUGUAUUCCCCCUCCUUGGAAAAGCAGCCCGUGCUAUCCUCGAUGCUGUCAGUUUCUAUUUGAACCUGCGCAGCUGUGCCUUCACCGAGAUACUUGACAGUUUCCCGUUACGAAAUCGAGAAAUAUCAUCUUCGGUUUUAUCUGUUACUUGUCAUGCAAGGCCCUCCUUUCACCAUAACUUAGCAACACAAGAAGAAGAAGAAGACGACGUUGUUGUUAUGUUCUCGGACCAUGAUCAUCAAGUCGACAAAAGUGUAUUGUCUAUUAUAAAAUCAGACAAGGCUGGCUUUCAUAUUAGAGAUUUUAGUGGUCGUUGGGUGCUUGUGGAUGGUGAUCUUGGUCCUCAAGAAGCGGUUGUCUACCCUGGACUUGCUUUGUACCAUGCUACUGCUGGCUAUGUUAGCCCUGCAUUGCAUAGAACUGAUAUUAGUAGUAGUGGUAACAACAUGUAUGGGCGGUCUUCUCUUUCUUUUAAACUCAUGCCUAAAUCCAUGACUAGUCUUAGUUGUUCAGAGAUGAGAGCUGCUGGUCAUGGUGUUGAACCUCAGUUCCAGAUUCCAGUAUCUGUUGAUGACUUCAUGCAGAGAUCUCAUCCGUUGGAUCAACUCUUCAACAGAAACAGUUUCCCAGCUUUCAGUUUUCCUACCGCCCAACAAGGAUCUAUGAAACCGUUAAUGAAGAGAAAGAAGAACAAUUCUAGGCUAAAACCGUUGCCUCCUUCGAAAAGGUUACGGCUGGAAGCUCAAAGAGUUCUUAAAGAGAGAGUUCAGGACAUAGCUGAUAAGAAAGGCAUCAAGCUCAGAUUCUGCACAUUGAAGGAGUGUGAGAGCCACAUUCAUACACUUGACAGUCCAUGUGGCAACAUACGACUGGAGAUCGGGUGGCCCCCAGGAGUGCCGUUUGUACAUCCCCAUGACCUGCCUAACAAAGCAAAGAUUGGAUUUCUUGAAACAUAUGAACCUGGUUGGUCAGCCAAUCAUGAUAUGGAGCUCAGUUUGAUUGAAACUGGACAGCCAAGUCAACCUGCCGAUAACUAGGGGUUGGCUUGUGUUGCAAGAAACGGCGCACGGUCUGAGAUUAAGCUGUCCUGAAGUCACCCUCCUUUAUUCGUUUACUGAACGGCGCUAUCUUUUAGCACAAAAGUUGACAGACAAUAUACUUAAAGUUGAGAGGCGUGGUCCUUCAGCUCCCAGGGACUAUUGACUAAAUAACUUGUAUUAAGCAAUGUUUUAAAAACCGGUAAAUACCGGCCGGUUAUACCGGUAUUACCGUUUUUUGAUGUAAAUCCGGUACGAAACACCCCGGUAAAUAAGUGAAACAGGAUAAGUUUUGUACCGGCGGUAAAAUCCGGUAUACCGGUUUGAAAGUAAUACCGAUACUGGCCCAUGUUGUUUUAGUUUGGGUUGUUACUUAU